ACCCGCUGAAUUUAAGCAUAUAAGUAAGUGGUUGGAAUUAAACCAAAAGGGAUUUCUUUAGUAAUUGCGAAUGAACAAGGAUAUGCUUAGCUUGACAAAUGGAGCUAUUAGCUUUGAAUUGUAUUGUGGAAAUGUAUUACCAACAGAGGUGCAGGUGCCAGCCUAUUGAAAGAAAGCGUCAAUGAGGGUGAUAAGCCUGUUUGUCAUGUGCAGCCCUCUGUGCACGGUGUAUAUUUGUUGAUGCACACUCCUUGGCAUUGGAAUGCAAAGUGGGUGGUAAGUUUCAUGUAAAGGUAAAUAUGCAAUUGAGACUGAUAGCACACAAGUACCAUGAGGGAAAUAUGAAAAGGACUUUGAAAAGAGAAUUAAAUGAGUUUGUAUUUGCUGAACAAAAAGUAAACAGACUUGAUUUCUUUGGUGAGGUUGUUGUGCUUGCCUGACAAUAAGUUUUGGUGGUGGGUACAAUGAUUCUUUCUUGGCAUGCCAGUUCCUAUUUGUACAUUUGAUUACCUUUGCAUAUGAAUGGGAAGUUUCUUGUGGGGGGGUUGAUUGCAUGUGCAUGUAAUGAUUUGUGUUUUGAUGUAUGAGUCUGGUGUUUCUGUUGGUGUUUCUGUGCUUGAGGUUGAUUCCUUCCUUGGACUGACAAGCCCUGACACCCACAUGCUGGCAAACUGCUUCUUCUUGACCCGUCUUGAAACACGGACCAA
rnacentral:rRNA from 1 species